rnacentral:tRNA from 1 species
UGGGGUAUUGCUCAAUUUUAGAGCCCAUGCUUAGUAUGCAGGAGGUCCUGGGUUCAAUCCUCAGUACCUUCA